AUUAUUCACUCCAUGAACCACACACCCCUUCUAAAAUUAUAUGAUUAAAUGUUGAGUGAUUAGGGAGCUUCAGGAGUCAUCUGUAGAGUUGUAAGUGCUCACUAAUAAAAAGCACAGUGCUUUGACACAGUGAUUCAGGGGAGGGGGAUGGGCCUUGUUUAUUUCUCAUGUCAUGCAGGGCUCUUGAAAGAUUACACUAGCAUGUCUAUGGUGACAACUCAAAUGGGUUUUAAAUUAAUAUAACUGGGGAAACAAGAAUGUUGAAUGGAAUAAACAAUCAAAAAUGAGGCUUGUAGAAACAGCAAAAACCCAACUUUAUGCUUAAACUGAACCUGAGUGAAAAACAUUAGCAAGUUCACUGUAAUCAGUCUCGAUGACUAAAACUUCUCGGCAAAGGAUAAAGAUUAAGAAAACCAAGAAAACUGCAUCAUUUUUUGACAAGAAAUAUAGAAGAAUAACUGAGCUUGGAAGGCUCACGUCAAAGACCAUGGUUCCUGAAACCAGAGAGUCCGGUGCCACCACAGAAGACAAAAUUAGUCAAAUACUAACUAAAUAUUAUCUUUCUUCCAGUUUUUCUAACUUACAAAAGAGACAUUUACUGCUCACCAUAUCCUCAAAGCUUCCUUUACUAGUCUUGUUUGCAGCUAAGUUGGUGCCAUGUGACUAAUGCUGCCCAAAGAAAUGAGGGAAGGGUGGGCUAUGUCACUGCCAAACCUCUAGGCCCCACAUGACCUUCAGCCCCUACUUUCUUGUUCAUGCAGGGCUAGUAAAUGACCAACUCUGUACACACUAAGCCGUGAUGUUUCUGUGUCAUUGAAUACAGUCUAGGUCAUCCCCCCAAGUCUAUCACUAAUCUAUGUUCAUGCUGGGGGCCAGCCCUGGCUGUUCUUCUUUCACAUUCUCUCUUGAAAGUAGCUGAUGGAGGAAGAGCAUCAGAGGGGACAAGACAUAGCCUUAUCAGAUAUUUAGGGUUGCUGUUUAAUAAUAAGGUGUUUAACUGUCUUAACUUUAAGUCACUUUGCUGGAGUAGCUGAGCUGCCUGUCUGAGUUCUUCUGAGGUCAGAAAACUUGAGUCUUUGGCAUUCAGCACCUCAUAGUAAAGCUGCUAGGGAUUAAAUAAAGUUGUCUUUGUUCUAUAUCCUCAGAAACUGCACAGCUCUGACUCCCAGUCUGCAAGCUGAAGUCGCAGCAAGAAAAAUGGACACUAGAUGCAGAUAUUUGCACCCAAUCAAUGGACAGAAGUAUAUUUCAGCUCUCUGAAAAGAGAGAUGAGAACAAUUGUCCAGGAGCUUCAGAAGGGAAGAAAAUGGAGUUAAGUUGGCAAAGUUGGAUAAAGACACAGUCAACUACAUUUCUCCUAUUCAUUACUUGAUGAACAUCUCAGCUCCUUUUGUUUCCUGAUAUUGUGAGUAAUGAAGCACUGGACAAGGAUGAGCAUACAUCUCCUGUAGUAGGAUCUAGAGAACCUUGGGUCUAUAUGCCUCAGAGUGGUAAGUGUAAACCAUAUGGUAGAUCACUCUUUAGAUCUUUACAAAUGCUCCACAAUGAUUUUCAUAGAGGCUGUACCAGUUUUGCACUUUCAUCAAUAGCGAGUAAAUGUUUCUUUUUCCUCACAUUCAUGCCAGCAUUAGUAAGGUCUGGGUUUUUUGUCUUAGUCAUUCUG
rnacentral:lncRNA from 1 species